UGGGGAAUAUUGCACAAUGGGCGAAAGCCUGAUGCAGCAACGCCGCGUGAGUGAUGAAGGCCUUCGGGUUGUAAAGCUCUGUCUUUUGGGACGAUAAUGACGGUACCAAAGGAGGAAGCCACGGCUAACUACGUGCCAGCAGCCGCGGUAAUACGUAGGUGGCAAGCGUUGUCCGGAUUUACUGGGCGUAAAGGAUGCGUAGGCGGAUUUUUAAGUGAGAUGUGAAAACCCUAAGCUUAACUUGGGGACUGCAUUUCAUACUGGAAAUCUAGAGUGCGGGAGAGGAGAAUGGAAUUCCUAGUGUAGCGGUGAAAUGCGUAGAGAUUAGGAAGAACACCAGUGGCGAAGGCGAUUCUCUGGACCGUAACUGACGCUGAGGCAUGAAAGCGUGGGUAGCAAACAGGAUUAGAUACCCUGGUAGUCCACGCCGUAAACGAUGAGUACUAGGUGUAGGAGGUAUCGACCCCUUCUGUGCCGCAGUUAACACAAUAAGUACUCCGCCUGGGAAGUACGAUCGCAAGAUUAAAACUUAAAGGAAUUGACGGGGUCAUAGCUGUUUCC
rnacentral:rRNA from 1 species